UGGGGAAUAUUGCGCAAUGGGGGGAACCCUGACGCAGCCAUGCCGCGUGAAUGAAGAAGGCCUUAGGGUUGUAAAGUUCUUUCGGUAUUGAGGAAGGUUGAUGUGUUAAUAGCACAUCAAAUUGACGUUAAAUACAGAAGAAGCACCGGCUAACUCCGUGCCAGCAGCCGCGGUAAUACGGAGGGUGCGAGCGUUAAUCGGAAUAACUGGGCGUAAAGGGCACGCAGGCGGUUAUUUAAGUGAGGUGUGAGAGCAGCCCCCGGGCUUAACUUGGAAUUGCAUUUCAGACUGGGUAACUAGAGUACUUUAGGGAGGGGUAGAAUUCCACGUGUAGCGGUGAAAUGCGUAGAGAUGUGGAGGAAUACCGAAGGCGAAGGCAGCCCCUUGGGAAUGUACUGACGCUCAUGUGCGAAAGCGUGGGGAGCAAACAGGAUUAGAUACCCUGGUAGUCCACGCUGUAAACGCUGUCGAUUUGGGGGUUGGGGUUUAACUCUGGCGCCCGUAGCUAACGUGAUAAAUCGACCGCCUGGGGAGUACGGCCGCAAGGUUA
rnacentral:rRNA from 1 species